AGCCUGUAUAGCUUAAAAUAGAUAAUAUGCCCUACAUUUCCCAUUUAAGUAGAAGAGAAUGUGAAUAAUGCAAUGGAUUUUGAAAGGAUUACAUAAUAGAUGAAAAUCAUGAAAUGACUUUCCAUAAUACACGAAGGCAUU